rnacentral:rRNA from 1 species
CCUACGGGAGACAGCAGUGAGGAAUAUUGGUCAAUGGUCGGGAGACUGAACCAGCCAAGCCGCGUGAGGGAUGAAGGUCCAGAGUAUCGUAAACCUCUUUUGUCAGGGAACAAAGGCGUGGACGUGUCCCCGGAUGAGUGUACCUGAAGAAAAAGCAUCGGCUAACUCCGUGCCAGCAGCCGCGGUAAUCCGGAGGAUGCGAGGGUUAUCCGGAUUUAUUGGGUUUAAAGGGUGCGCAGGCGGUCUGUUAAGUCAGCGGUAAAAGCCUGGGGCUCAACCCCGGAUCGCCGUUGAAACUGGCAGUCUCGAGUUGGAGAGAGGUAUGCGGAAUGCGCGGUGUAGCGGUGAAAUGCAUAGAUAUCACGCAGAACUCCGAUUGCGAAGGCAGCAUGCCGGCUCCACACUGACGCUGAGGCACGAAAGCGUGGGUAUCGAACAGGAUUAGAUACCCUGGUAGUC